GUGAGGAAUAUUGGUCAAUGGGCGGGAGCCUGAACCAGCCAAGUCGCGUGAGGGAAGACGGUCCUAUGGAUUGUAAACCUCUUUAGGCGGGGAGCAAUGCCGGGCACGUGUGCCCGGAGGGAGAGUACCCGCAGAAUAAGCAUCGGCUAACUCCGUGCCAGCAGCCGCGGUAAUACGGAGGAUGCGAGCGUUAUCCGGAUUUAUUGGGUUUAAAGGGUGCGUAGGCGGAUUUUUAAGUCAGCGGUAAAAUGUCCGGGCUCAACCCGGGCCGGCCGUUGAAACUGGGGAUCUUGAGUGGGCGAGAAGUAUGCGGAAUGCGUGGUGUAGCGGUGAAAUGCAUAGAUAUCACGCAGAACUCCGAUUGCGAAGGCAGCAUACCGGCGCCCGACUGACGCUGAGGCACGAAAGCGUGGGGAUCGAACAGGAUUAGAAACCCUAGUAGUCC
rnacentral:rRNA from 1 species